UACAGAGGUCUCAAGCGUUGUUCGGAAUCACUGGGCGUAAAGGGUGCGUAGGCCGCACGGUAAGUCAGAGGUGAAAUCCCGGAGCUCAACUCCGGAAUGGCCUCCGAUACUGCCGUGCUCGAGGACUGGAGAGGAGUCUGGAAUUCACAGUGGAGCAGUGAAAUGCGUGGAUAUUGUGAGGAACACUAGUGGCGAAGGCGAGACUCUGGACAGUUCCUGACGCUGAGGCACGAAGGCCAGGGGAGCAAGCGGG
rnacentral:rRNA from 1 species